ACGGCAGCACGGAGCUUGCUCUGGUGGCGAGUGGCGAACGGGUGAGUAAUAUAUCGGAACGUACCCUGGAGUGGGGGAUAACGUAGCGAAAGUUACGCUAAUACCGCAUACGAUCUAAGGAUGAAAGUGGGGGAUCGCAAGACCUCAUGCUCGUGGAGCGGCCGAUAUCUGAUUAGCUAGUUGGUAGGGUAAAAGCCUACCAAGGCAUCGAUCAGUAGCUGGUCUGAGAGGACGACCAGCCACACUGGAACUGAGACACGGUCCAGACUCCUACGGGAGGCAGCAGUGGGGAAUUUUGGACAAUGGGCGAAAGCCUGAUCCAGCAAUGCCGCGUGAGUGAAGAAGGCCUUCGGGUUGUAAAGCUCUUUUGUCAGGGAAGAAACGGUGAGGGCUAAUAUCUCUUGCUANNUGACGGUACCUGAAGAAUAAGCACCGGCUAACUACGUGCCAGCAGCCGCGGUAAUACGUAGGGUGCAAGCGUUAAUCGGAAUUACUGGGCGUAAAGCGUGCGCAGGCGG
rnacentral:rRNA from 1 species